rnacentral:rRNA from 1 species
CAACAGGGAUUGCCCUAGUAACGGCGAGUGAAGCGGCAACAGCUCAAAUUUGAAAUCUGGCUUCGGUCCGAGUUGUAAUUUGCAGAGGAUGUUUCUGGCGCGGUGCCUUCCGAGUUCCCUGGAACGGGACGCCAAAGAGGGUGAGAGCCCCGUAUGGUCGGACACCAAGCCUGUGUGAAACUCCUUCGACGAGUCGAGUAGUUUGGGAAUGCUGCUCUAAAUGGGAGGUAAAUCUCUUCUAAAGCUAAAUACCGGCCAGAGACCGAUAGCGCACAAGUAGAGUGAUCGAAAGAUGAAAAGCACCUUGAAAAGGGGGUUAAAUAGUACGUGAAAUUGUUGAAAGGGAAGCAUUUAUGACCAGACUUGGGCCAGGCGGCUCAUCAGGGGUUCUCCCCUGUGCACUCCGCCUGGCACAGGCCAGCAUCGGUUCUCGUGGGGGGAUAAGACCAUCAGGAACGUAGCACCCUCCGGGGUGUGUUAUAGCCUGGCGGACGAUACCCUCGUGGGGACCGAGGUUCGCGCUCCGCAAGGAUGCUGGCGUAAUGGUCAUCAGUGA